rnacentral:rRNA from 1 species
UGGGGUAUUUUGGACAAUGGGCGAAAGCCUGAUCCAGCCAUGCCGCGUGUGUGAAGAAGGUCUUCGGAUUGUAAAGCACUUUAAGUUGGGAGGAAGGGCAGUAAGGUAAUACCGUGCUGUUUUGACGUUACCGACAGAAUAAGCCCCGGCUCUACUACUGAG